rnacentral:tRNA from 1 species
GCGGGCGUGUUGGAAUGGUAGACAAGCCAGACUUAGGAUCUGGUGGAGAAAUCCGUGAGGGUUCGAGUCCCUCCGCCCGUA